CCUACGGGUGGCAGCAGUGAGGAAUAUUGGUCAAUGGACGAGAGUCUGAACCAGCCAAGUAGCGUGAAGGAUGACUGCCCUAUGGGUUGUACACUUCUUUUAUAAAGGAAUAAAACGAGGCACGUGUGCCUUUUUGCAUGUACUUUAUGAAUAAGGAUCGGCUAACUCCGUGCCAGCAGCCGCGGUAAUACGGAGGAUCCGAGCGUUAUCCGGAUUGAUUGGGUUUAAAGGGAACGUAGAUGGGUUGUUAAGUCAGUUGAGAAAGUUUGCGGCUCAACCGUAAAAUUGCAAUUGAUACUGGCAGUCUUGAGUACAGUUGAGGUAGGCGGAAUUCGUGGUGUAGCGGUGAAAUGCUUAGAUAUCACGAAGAACCCCGAUUGCGAAGGCAGCUUACUAAACUGUGACUGACAUUGAUGCUCGAAAGUGUGGGUAUCAAACAGGAUUAGAUACCCUAGUAGUC
rnacentral:rRNA from 1 species